GAUGAACGCUGGCGGCGUGCCUAAUACAUGCAAGUCGAGCGAACAUACUAGGAGCUUGCUCCUCUGACGUUAGCGGCGGACGGGUGAGUAACACGUGGAUAACCUACCUAUAAGACUGGGAUAACUUCGGGAAACCGGAGCUAAUACCGGAUAAUAUAUUGAACCGCAUGGUUCAAUAGUGAAAGACGGUUUUGCUGUCACUUAUAGAUGGAUCCGCGCCGCAUUAGCUAGUUGGUAAGGUAACGGCUUACCAAGGCAACGAUGCGUAGCCGACCUGAGAGGGUGAUCGGCCACACUGGAACUGAGACACGGUCCAGACUCCUACGGGAGGCAGCAGUAGGGAAUCUUACGCAAUGGGCGAAAGCCUGACGGAGCAACGCCGAGUGAGUGAUGAAGGUCUUCGGAUCGUAAAACGCUGUUAUUAGGGAAGAACAAAUGUGUAAGUAACUAUGCACGUCUUGACGGUACCUAAUCAGAAAGCCACGGCUAACUACGU
rnacentral:rRNA from 1 species